AACGCGAAGAACCUUACCUGGGCUCGAAAUGUAGUGGAAUCGGGUGGAAACAUCCGCGUCUCGCAAGAGACUGCUAUAUAGGUGCUGCAUGGCUGUCGUCAGCUCGUGUCGUGAGAUGUUGGGUUAAGUCCCGCAACGAGCGCAACCCUCGCCUUUAGUUGCCAUCAUUCAGUUGGGCACUCUAGAGGGACUGCCGGUGUCAAGCCGGAGGAAGGUGGGGAUGACGUCAAGUCCUCAUGGCCUUUAUAUCUGGGGCUACACACGUGCUACAAUGGUCGGUACAAAGGGAUGCAGAGGUGCGAGCCGAAGCUAAUCCCAGAAAACCGAUCCCAGUUCGGAUCGAAGUCUGCAACUCGACUUCGUGAAGUCGGAAUCGCUAGUAAUCGCGGAUCAGAACGCCGCGGUGAAUACGUUCCCGGGCCUUGUACACACCGUAGAGAC
rnacentral:rRNA from 1 species